rnacentral:rRNA from 1 species
AGGGUUCGAUUCUGGCUCAGGAUGAACGCUGGCGGCGUGCUUAACACAUGCAAGUCGAACGGGAUCCAUCAGGCUUUGCUUGGUGGUGAGAGUGGCGAACGGGUGAGUAAUGCGUGACCGACCUGCCCCAUACACCGGAAUAGCUCCUGGAAACGGGUGGUAAUGCCGGAUGCUCCGACUCCUCGCAUGGGGUGUCGGGAAAGAUUUCAUCGGUAUGGGAUGGGGUCGCGUCCUAUCAGGUAGUCGGCGGGGUAACGGCCCACCGAGCCUACGACGGGUAGCCGGCCUGAGAGGGCGACCGGCCACAUUGGGACUGAGAUACGGCCCAGACUCCUACGGGAGGCAGCAGUGGGGAAUAUUGCACAAUGGGCGCAAGCCUGAUGCAGCGACGCCGCGUGCGGGAUGACGGCCUUCGGGUUGUAAACCGCUUUUGAUCGGGAGCAAGCCUUCGGGUGAGUGUACCUUUCGAAUAAGCACCGGCUAACUACGUGCCAGCAGCCGCGGUAAUACGUAGGGUGCAAGCGUUAUCCGGAAUUAUUGGGCGUAAAGGGCUCGUAGGCGGUUCGUCGCGUCCGGUGUGAAAGUCCAUCGCUUAACGGUGGAUCUGCGCCGGGUACGGGCGGGCUGGAGUGCGGUAGGGGAGACUGGAAUUCCCGGUGUAACGGUGGAAUGUGUAGAUAUCGGGAAGAACACCAAUGGCGAAGGCAGGUCUCUGGGCCGUUACUGACGCUGAGGAGCGAAAGCGUGGGGAGCGAACAGGAUUAGAUACCCUGGUAGUCCACGCCGUAAACGGUGGAUGCUGGAUGUGGGGCCCGUUCCACGGGUUCCGUGUCGGAGCUAACGCGUUAAGCAUCCCGCCUGGGGAGUACGGCCGCAAGGCUAAAACUCAAAGAAAUUGACGGGGGCCCGCACAAGCGGCGGAGCAUGCG